rnacentral:lncRNA from 1 species
GGGACAAGCUACCAAGAAUUUUAUUCUUUGGCCUCGACGGGAUGUCUUGCUAUGUUAGCUACCCAACCAUCACCCCAAGAAGUGUCGCACACUUAGGAGUCGUCCCAUCCCACAUCUCUUUCCAGUCCACCAACCUCUCCGAUCUUGCAUCCACAAUCCCCACCACCACCAUUACCGAUAAUGCCUCAACCACCAUCCCCGCCACCAUCAAAACCCACUCCACCACCAUCAUCAACAUCGCAAUCUUCCACACCACCAGCACCU